GAGUUUGAUCAUGGCUCAGAACGUACGCUGGCGGCACGCCUAACACAUGCAAGUCGAACGAAGUAGCAAUACUUAGUGGCAGACGGGUGAGUAACAUGUAGGUAUCUGCCCUUUGGCCUGGAAUAACACGAGGAAACUUGUGCUAAUACCGGAUAAGUCUUUACGGAGAAAGCUUUAUGCACCAUUGGAUGAGCCUGCACUUGAUUAGUUUGUUGGUGGGGUAAUGGCCUACCAAGACUGUGAUCAAUAGCUGAUUUGAGAGGAUGAUCAGCCACAUUGGGACUGAGACACGGCCCAAACUCCUACGGGAGGCAGCAGUGGGGAAUCUUGCACAAUGGAGGAAACUCUGAUGCAGCGAUGCCGCGUGAGUGAAGAAGGCCCUUGGGUUGUAAAGCUCUUUCGUCGGGGAAGAAAAUGACUGUACCCGAAUAAGAAGGUCCGGCUAACUUCGUGCCAGCAGCCGCGGUAAUACGAAGGGACCUAGCGUAGUUCGGAAUUACUGGGCUUAAAGAGUUCGUAGGUGGUUGAAAAAGUUAGUGGUGAAAUCCCAGAGCUUAACUCUGGAACUGCCAUUAAAACUUUUCAGCUAGAGUAUGAUAGAGGAAAGCAGAAUUUCUAGUGUAGAGGUGAAAUUCGUAGAUAUUAGAAAGAAUACCAAUUGCGAAGGCAGCUUUCUGGAUCAUUACUGACACUGAGGAACGAAAGCAUGGGUAGCGAAGAGGAUUAGAUACCCUCGUAGUCCAUGCCGUAAACGAUGUGUGUUAGACGUUGGAAAUUUAUUUUCAGUGUCGCAGGGAAACCGAUAAACACACCGCCUGGGGAGUACGACCGCAAGGUUAAAACUCAAAUGAAUUGACGGGGACCCGCACAAGUAGUGGAGCAUGUGGUUUAAUUCGAAGAUACGCGCAGAACCUUACCAACACUUGACAUGUUCGUCGCGACUCUAAGAGAUUAGAGUUUUCGGUUCGGCCGGACGAAACACAGGUGCUGCAUGGCUGUCGUCAGCUCGUGUCGUGAGAUGUUGGGUUAAGUCCCGCAACGAGCGCAACCCUCACUUUUAGUUGCCAUCAUUAAGUUGGGCACUCUGAAAGAACUGCCAGUGAUAAGCUGGAGGAAGGUGGGGAUGACGUCAAGUCCUCAUGGCCCUUACGUGUUGGGCUACACACGUGCUACAAUGGUAUCUACAACAGGAAGCAAGACUGCGAAGUCAAGCAAAUCCCUAAAAGAUACCUCAGUUCGGAUUGCACUCUGCAACUCGAGUGCAUGAAGCUGGAAUUACUAGUAAUCGUGGAUCAGCGUGCCACGGUGAAUGCGU
rnacentral:rRNA from 1 species